AGACUGACGCAGUCUGACCAGCCAUGCCGCGUGGAGGAUGACGGUCCUCAUGGAUUGUAAACUUCUUUUAUCGGAGAAGAAACCCAUGACAUUCCUGUUUGGUUGACGGUACCCGAUGAAUAAGCACCGGCUAACUCCGUGCCAGCAGCCGCGGUAAUACGGAGGGUGCAAGCGUUAUCCGGAUUCACUGGGUUUAAAGGGUGCGUAGGUGGGUUGGUAAGUCAGUGGUGAAAUCUCCGGGCUUAACUCGGAAACUGCCGUUGAUACUAUCAGUCUUGAAUAUUGUGGAGGUAAGCGGAAUAUGUCAUGUAGCGGUGAAAUGCUUAGAUAUGACAUAGAACACCGAUUGCGAAGGCAGCUUGCUACACAAUAAUUGACACUGAGGCACGAAAGCGUGGGGAUCAAACAGGAUUAGAUACCCUGGUAGUCCACGCCCUAAACGAUGGAUACUCGACAUACGCGAUACACAGUGUGUGUCUGAGCGAAAGCAUUAAGUAUCCCACCUGGGAAGUACGACCGCAAGGUUGAAACUCAGG
rnacentral:rRNA from 1 species